rnacentral:tRNA from 1 species
GCCCUCGUAGCUCAGAUGGAUAGAGCAAGGAGUUUCUACCUCCAAGGUCGGGUGUUCGAGUCACUCCGAGGGUGCUA